GAUAUCUUCUUUCAUGGAGAGCAUGUCUUUGGUGGUUGCAGUCUGUCUGUCUUCACUAAUGUUUAUUCUGGCUUCCAGGGCUUCCAUCUGAUUCUGAUAAUGGUUGAUCUUUUCCUGGAUAUUUGAUAUUGAACUGACAAUGUUCGUCAUUUGGUUGAGGAGUUCCGUUUGUCCCGUUUUAAUGUCUUGGAGCAUUGCUGGUAGAUUCAUGUCUUCAUUCAAACUGAGAGUAUCUCCGUCGCAACCUUUCCUUACUCCAAAUGGAAGAAGAAAAUGGUCAAGAGUUUGCAGCUUUGGCUGAGCUCUUUUAAUGCAUGAGAAAGAUUACGUCUGGAUUAUGUGAUAGGACAGCAACUGGAGAGCCCAGACCUCAGUAUUGUGGCACAGAUGACAAGAAAGAAUCUGAUAUGAGCUGGAGUCAAAGGUGAACAAAUUCAACGAGGAGAACUGAUGUCUAAUUUGAAAAGGCAACAUAACCAUUUGGGCAAGACCCAUGGUCCCAACUCCAGCAGGCACUCCAGUCUAAGCCACAGGCCAUGUCUACCAGAAAACAGGUAGGUUACCUACAGACCUUCUCUUUUCUCUGUCUCCCAAGUUCCAAUCCCCCUGUCUCAUCCCAGCUGUGUUGUAGAAUGCCUCUGGUAACCCCCCUCUCAUCUGCCAUAGAACCCACAGAUCUUACUCCUUCUAACAUCCCCACUCCUCAAAGACCCUAAACCCAGCAGGCACCCCCCUGCUAUCCCAAGUUCCCCUCCUUUUAUGGCAACAAGUAGGGUGAAGGCAGGUCCACACCUUUCCUGCUGCAUCUGAGAUUCAAUACCUCAGUUUCUUUCCCAGCUCUAUAACAGCAAAUCUGCUGUGGUCUCCCUUUCCUCUGUGACCCCAGUCCCAAGGGAUUUAAGAAGACCUUUUCCUCUAACUUUCCUUCCACCAACUCAUCCCAGAAUCCUAGCCCUCAACAUCAGCAGGCAUUCCCUUAAUGCUAAACAGACCAGGAAAACAGCCAUCACACUCUCCCAAAAUUCAGGGAAGAAACAAAAUCCAAGGAACAAAACAACCAUCCGACAAAGACAAAUCCAGAAAUCAGCACCUAGCCCUAUAAUUAUUCCAAAUGGAGAUGGCUACAGGCCAGUGCAAAACCACCAUAACCGUAAGGACGAUGUCUGUACUUGAGCCUAGCUAUCCUACCAUUUGCAGGCCCUGACUACCCCAACACGGAUGAAGCAUAAGAUAAAGACCUUAAAACCAAGUAUAUGAAGACGAUGGAGGGCCUUGAAGAGGAAGUAAAUAAAUCCUUUCAAGAAAUCCAGGAAAACAAAAACAAACAGUGUGAGGAAAUGAAUAAAUUCCUUAAAGAAAGCC